AACAAACGCUGGCGGCGUGCCUAAUACAUGCAAGUCGAACGGGGAAAGCUUUCGGGUGAGUACUAGUGGCGCACGGGUGAGUAACGCGUGGAUAAUCUGCCUUAGAGUGGGGGAUAACUAGUCGAAAGAUUAGCUAAUACCGCAUAAGACCACAAGAACUGCGGUUCAAGGGGUCAAAGGUUUUUCGCUCUAAGAUGAGUCCGCGUAAGAUUGGCUAGUUGGUAGGGUAACGGCCUACCAAGGCGACGAUCUUUAACUGGUCUGAGAGGAUGAUCAGUCAGACUGGAACUGAGACACGGUCCAGACUCCUACGGGAGGCAGCAGUAGGGAAUAUUGCACAAUGGAGGAAACGCUGAUGCAGCGACGCCGCGUGAGUGAUGAAGGCCUUCGGGUCGUAAAGCUCUGUCGCAGGGGAAUAACACAAUGAAGGUACCCUGUAAGAAAGGAUCGGCUAACUUCGUGCCAGCAGCCGCCGUAAGAC
rnacentral:rRNA from 1 species